rnacentral:rRNA from 1 species
GCAAGAUUAAAACUCAAAGGAAUAGACGGGGACCCGCACAAGUGGUGGAGCAUGUGGUUUAAUUCGAAGAUACGCGAAGAACCUUACCUAGCCUUGACAUUGAUAGAAUCUUCCAGAGAUGGAGGAGUGCCUUUCGGGGAACUUGAAAACAGGUGCUGCACGGCUGUCGUCAGCUCGUGUCGUGAGAUGUUGGGUUAAGUCCCGCAACGAGCGCAACCCUCGUCAUUAGUUACUAACAGUUCGGCUGAGGACUCUAAUGAGACUGCCUUCGUAAGGAGGAGGAAGGUGAGGACGACGUCAAGUCAUCAUGGCCCUUACGGCUAGGGCGACACACGUGCUACAACGGUUAGGACAAUGAGAAGCGAUACCGCGAGGUGGAGCAAAUCUAUAAACCUAAUCUCAGUUCGGAUUGUAGUCUGCAACUCGACUACAUGAAGCUGGAAUCACUAGUAAUCGUAGAUCAGCCAUGCUACGGUGAAUACGUUCCCGGGUCUUGUACUCACCGCCCGUCACACCAUGGGAGUUGAUUUCACCCGAAGCGGGGAAGCUAAACUGGCUACCCUCCACGGUGGAAUUAGCGACUGGGGUGAAGUCGUAACAAGGUA